CACGUAGGGGACGAGCGUUGUCCGGAUUCAUUGGGCGUAAAGCGCGCGUAGGCGGCUCGGAAAGUCGGGCGCGAAAUGCCGGGGCUCAACCCCGGGACUGCGUCUGAUACUGGAUGGCUUGAAUCCGGGAGAGGGAUGCAGAAUUCCAGGUGUAGCGGUGAAAUGCGUAGAUAUCUGGAGGAAUACCGGUGGCGAAGGCGGCAUCCUGGACCGGCAUUGACGCUGAGGAGCGAAAGCCAGGGGAGCAAACGGG
rnacentral:rRNA from 1 species